AGUCAAUCCUAGUGGACGAAAUCUUUAUAUAAUAUAACCGGAACUAAUAUGACAGUUUUCAAUUACUGUAUCCUAAAUGGCCCCAUGCUCAAUCUAUUAAUAAAUUAAAAAUAUAGUCAUGGUCACGUGAGUUUGAAGAAUAUUUUGUCUUUAUAUUUUAUGGGCAUGUAUUAUGUUGUACAUUGAAUUAAAUUGUGUGUAAUUCAGAUUAGUUACGCAAAUUAUUAUAAAAGACGGAUAAUAUUAUUGCGCGUCAUUCGUGUAUCAGUAUUUCAUCUAGCCAUGAAGUCUGUACUAGCCCUUAUAUUGAUGGCUGUACUAGGGCUAGUGGUGGCGACUCCUGUGCUGCCCCCUCACUUCGAUCCCCUUUGCGGCUGCAUACCGGACCAUACGUUCUGCGCCAACGACUUCAGAACCUACACCAGCGUCUGCGAGUACAAAUGCAAAAAUCCCAACUUCCAUGACUGGUACAUAAUGUACGAUGGGCCGUGCAAGCUGACACCACCUGGCUAAAUACCAGGAAUUACCUGAGGACAUAAAAAGAAAAUGAUACAUUAAAUGGUUUCUAAUUGGGCAAAA